CCAAGGCCCGCCCCGGAAGAGGAGGGGCGAGGCCGCUUUCUCAGUGGAGUCGGCCGGACUUCUACGUCCGCCUGGCAAACCUGCGUUGUGCUUGCGGAACGUAGGCCGCCACACAUCCGAUGUCACUCUAAACGUUGCACCGUCGGCGUCCCCGAGGGUCACAAGACUCGCGGGACCAGAAGCGCCGACUGGCCGAGGCCCUUGACUAAGUCCUGGGCUAGUGAACAGCGGAAGGGGUUGGGCCGCUUGGCCUGCGCGGGGAGCCCGUGGGCGUGGUGGUUCUGGGCGCCGCAACCGGGUUUGCAGACUGGGCUGUGAGGCCAGUCGGAGGUGUCUCGGGGAAGUUGCGUGCACAGAGCAGCGUGGCCUAGCAGCGCGGUUGUGGUUUUGUUUAGCUGUUUCUCUUUCCGAUUAAUAAUACAACAAAGAGACCAACCCUGGGUUGGGAACCGAAAGAAACUGGAGAGAAAAAGUGAGGAAACUGCUGGAUUAGGUUUGCUAAAAGCGAGAUAAAUGGUGAAAGAGAGGGAAGAGAGCAAACAUUUUCUUCUUGUGCUUCAAAAAAAAAAAACUGUUAAGUGCUGACUGCAAGGCUGUGUGGGUUCUGUGCUGGGAAUGCCUUAGCCAGCAUCUACCUAGAGGCUGGGAGUCCUAUCCAGUAGGACUCAGGCAUCCAGGUUUUGUUGGCAUCACAUUUCCAUGGAUCUGAAUGGAUACUGGAACAUUACGAGAAGAUCCCAUGGAGCUGCAGCUGUCUGGUGGCUGUGAGGUGCACCCUGGGAACGUCUCAGAACACUUUCUCCAUGUAGCAUAUCAAGGAGAACAUAUCCUGAGUUUCCAGGGAACUGCUUGGGAGCCUGUCCCACAGGCCCCCCAGUGGGUAGAUUUGGUCAUCAAAGUGCUCAACCAGGACCAAGGGACAAGGAAAACAGUGCAGUGGCUCUUCAGUGACAUCUGUCCAGAAUAUGUCAAAGGCGUCCUAGAGACAGGGAAGUCGGAACUGGAGAAACAAGGUCCACCUGUUGUCCUCUCCUCCUGUUACUCAGGCUUCUUCUAGGUUUUGCCAUCCCAGGGUUUGCUUUCCUUUAAGCAUCAGACAAAGAGCAAGACAUAGGAGGGGAUGGAUAAGGCAUGAGGGUAUUUGUUGACAUCACCCAGUGUCACUGAGUACCUGCUGGGUUCCAUGAGUUGAAUUAA
rnacentral:lncRNA from 1 species